rnacentral:lncRNA from 1 species
AUGCUGACUGGCUGCUCCAUGCUGACUGACAGCUCUGGCUGCUCCAUGCUGACUGGCAGCUCUGGCUGCUCCAUGCUGACUGGCAGCUCUGGCUGCUCCAUGCUGACUGGCAGCUCUGGCUGCUCCAUGCUGACUGGCAGCUCUGGCUGCUCCAUGCUGACUGGCAGCUCUGGCUGCUCCAUGCUGACUGGCAGCUCUGGCUGCUCCAUGCUGACUGGCAGCUCUGGCUGCUCCAUGCUGACUGGCUGCUCUGGCUGCUCCAUGCUGACUGGCUGCUCUGGCUGCUCCAUGCUGACUGGCUGCUCCAUGCUGACUGGCUGCUCCAUGCUGACUGGCUGCUCCAUGCUGACUGGCAGCUCUGGCUGCUCCAUGCUGACUGGCGGCCCUGGCUGCUCCAUGCUGACUGGCUGCUCCAUGCUGACUGGCGGCCCUGGCUGCUCCAUGCUGACUGGCAGCCCUGGCUGCUCCAUGCUGACUGGCAGCCCUGGCUGCUCCAUGCUGACUGGCGGCCCUGGCUGCUCCAUACUGACUGGCGGCCCUGGCUGCUCCAUACUGACUGGCGGCCCUGGCUGCUCCUUGCAGACUGGCAGCUCUGGCGGCUCCUUGCAGACUGGCAGCUCUGGCGGCUCCUUGCAGACUGGCAGCUUUGGCGGCAUCCUGCAGACAGGCAGCUUUGGCGGCAUCCUGCAGACAGGCAGCUCUGGCGGCAUCCUGCAGACAGGCAGCUCUGGCGGCUCCUUGCAGACUGGCAGCUCCUUGCAGACUGGCAGCUCUAUGCAGACUGGCAGCUCUAUGCAGACUGGCAGCUCCUUGCAGACUGGCAGCUCUAUGCUAACUGGCAGCUCUAUGCUAACUGGCAGCUCUAUGCUAACUGGCAGCUCUAUGCUAACUGGCAGCUCUAUGCUAACUGGCAGUUCUGAACAGGCGGGAGACUCCGGCAGCGCUGUAGAGAAGGAAGGCUCUAACAGCGCUAAACAGGCGGGAGACUCCGACAGCGCUGGAGAGGAGGAGGGCUCCGACAGCGCUGGACAGGCGAGGCGCACUGUAGGCCUGAUGCGUGGUGCUGGCACUGGUGGUACUGGGCCGAGGACACGCACAGGAAGCCUGGUGCGGGGAGCUGCUACCGGAGGGCUGGGGUGUGGAGGUGGCACAGGAUGGGUUAGACCGUGA